AUUCAGAAAAUCAUACCUUCCCAGAUGAUUUUGUUGGUGUCACCAGGUAUAACCCUAGGUAACUCGGGAGGGUGGUAGACCACGAGUGUCAAUGAAGCCCUCCUGUUGUAGGCCUCAGUGAACCAUUGUUCCUCCAUGUUCAACACUUUGUGUAACCUAGUGUAACCUAAUAUGUUAAUAGCUGUAAAAUGUA